rnacentral:rRNA from 1 species
GUGCACCAGUCGAGAAACCUCCGCAAUGCGGGAAACCGCGACGGGGGACCCCGAGUGCCGUGGCAACGCCACGGCUUUUCCGGAGUGUAAAAGCUCCGGGAAUAAGGGCUGGGCAAGGCCGGUGGCAGCCGCCGCGGUAAUACCGGCGGCCCGAGUGGUGGCCGCUAUUAUUGGGCCUAAAGCGUCCGUAGCCGGGCCCGUAAGUCCCUGGCGAAAUCCCACGGCUCAACCGUGGGGCUUGCUGGGGAUACUGCGGGUCUUGGGACCGGGAGAGGCGGGGGGUACCCCUGGGGUAGGGGUGAAAUCCUAUAAUCCCAGGGGGACCGCCAGUGGCGAAGGCGCCCCGCUGGAACGGGUCCGACGGUGAGGGACGAAAGCCAGGGGAGCAAACCGGAUUAGAUACCCGCGUAGU